rnacentral:rRNA from 1 species
CAGCCGCCACGGGAAUACGAACCGUGCGAACGUUAUUCGGAAUCACUGGGCUUAAAGCGCGUGUAGGCGGGCCGGCACGUCGGUCGUUGAAAUCCCCCGGCUCAACCGGGGAAGUGGCGCCGAUACGACCGGCCUGGAGGAACGUAGGGGGAGCUGGAACUUCCGGUGGAGCGGUGAAAUGCGUUGAGAUCGGAAGGAACGCCCGUGGCGAAAGCGAGCUCCUGGACGUUUUCUGACGCUGAGACGCGAAAGCCAGGGGAGCAAAUGGGAUUAGAUACCCCUGUAGUCCCUGUCUUUAUAA